UACGGGGGGGGCAAGCGUUGUUCGGAAUUACUGGGCGUAAAGGGCUUGUAGGUGGCCAACUAAGUCAGACGUGAAAUCCCUCGGCUUAACCGGGGAACUGCGUCUGAUACUGGAUGGCUUGAGUUCGGGAGAGGGAUGCGGAAUUCCAGGUGUAGCGGUGAAAUGCGUAGAUAUCUGGAGGAACACCGGUGGCGAAGGCGGCAUCCUGGACCGGUAUGACACUGAGGCGCGAAAGCCAGGGGAGCAAACGGG
rnacentral:rRNA from 1 species